rnacentral:rRNA from 1 species
UACGAGUACCUCGAGCGUUAUCCGGAAUUACUGGGCGUAAAGCGUCUGUAGGGGGUUUUGUUAGUCUGGUGUUAAAUGUUAGAGCUUAACUCUAACGCCGCACUGGAAACGUCAAAACUCGAGAGCGCGAGAGGCUGACGGAACUUACGGUGUAGGGGUGAAAUCCGUUGAUAUCGUAGGGAACGCCAAAAGCGAAAGCAGUCAGCUGGCGCGACUCUGACCCUGAGAGACGAAAGCGUGGGGAG